rnacentral:rRNA from 1 species
GACGAACGCUGGCGGCGUGCUUAACACAUGCAAGUCGAACGGAAAGGCCCUGCUUUUGUGGGGUGCUCGAGUGGCGAACGGGUGAGUAACACGUGAGUAACCUGCCCUUGACUUUGGGAUAACUUCAGGAAACUGGGGCUAAUACCGGAUAGGAGCUCCUGCUGCAUGGUGGGGGUUGGAAAGUUUCGGCGGUGGGGGAUGGACUCGCGGCUUAUCAGCUUGUUGGUGGGGUAGUGGCUUACCAAGGCUUUGACGGGUAGCCGGCCUGAGAGGGUGCCCGGCCACAUUGGGACUGAGAUACGGCCCAGACUCCUACGGGAGGCAGCAGUGGGGAAUAUUGCACAAUGGGCGGAAGCCUGAUGCAGCAACGCCGCGUGCGGGAUGACGGCCUUCGGGUUGUAAACCGCUUUCGCCUGUGACGAAGCGUGAGUGACGGUAAUGGGUAAAGAAGCACCGGCUAACUACGUG